GGUAACCUGGUUAUUUUGAGCGCGUCACUUCGUCUUGUCUCCAAGUUAUAGGUUCCCAUUGCCAAGGUUGGGCGCAGCACUUAACUGAUAUUGUUAUAGGCUACUUAUUGAUGGAGUAGACAUCGAUAGAAAUCGGCACACUAUUGACAACACAACGAAAGAAAGUUGGACACAUUCCUGUGGUUUCUUUCUUAUCCGAAUGAUACAUUUAUUUGGCCUACAUAAUAAUGUCAUAAAAUUCGCAUAUUAUAGUCUAAUAGGCAUAGUGGCCGUUAUUAAGAAACAUCUUAGAGUUUAUGUAAGCUUGGCACUAGGCAAUAUUAAGAUUUUAGAUGAUUAUUAUAUUGGCCCGUCAUUUCUCUUGCGCUCCUACUUCUUUUGGUGGUGUGGUGCGACUCCACGUGGCAACAAAUUGAGGAUUAUUGUAGUAACAAGAACGAAUAAACCCAAAGAGCACGCCCUACUCUCUGUGCGUAAUGACGCACUUGCGCAGGAGCAAUGUCACAGUCGCAACACCGAGACAGCGCCACCGAUUUAUUCUAAACUGAAUAAUAAUUGUUAUAAACCACAGAUACGGAUGUUCAUCCUCAUUCCAACAACGAUUUGCAUAACAUUUCCAAUCCAUUGUGAGGGUCGUGUAGUGGGGCCCGUGAGCGGCGGAUGAGGGUGGGGUCCAGCAUCAGCGGCGCCCUGCAGCCUCCCAAUGGUCUCCCCCACUAUGAAGGCACUGGUGGACGCUGUGUGGGCGGUGUGGAGCAUCGGUGCCUCCGUCUAUGACUACAUCCACACCAGCGCCAUGGAGGAGCGCAUCCACACGCUGGAGACCGUCAUCACCAUCCACCAGUGUGUCAUCGCAGCGCUGACCGCUGGAGUGGUGGUGCUCUUCACCUACAUACUGUUGAGGAAGCACUGAGGGGGAGUGAUGAAGGAGAAGCCACGCAGGGCCCAGGAAGCUAGUUUUGUGGACAACAUAGGAUUACCAGAGUGAUCAGAAGCAUUGAGAGUGUGGGUCUGGAAAGUCAUCCAGAGCCCUGGAGAGACCUACCGGCCUACAUGGAUUAGAUUGAGGAGGACUUGAUUAAUAAGGGAUUUUGGCUACUAGAAAAGUUUUGGGCUAUUUGGCCUUUAUUUCGGCUGACAAUUGUACCAUUCUACUGCGGGGGUGUUGCUGGACACUGUGUCUCAGGGAGUCAAUGGUUUCACUCACUUUGCACCCAUGGAAGAUGAAGACAUGGGCAGAGAUGGGCAAAAGAUGCAUGAAAAUGUAUCUUUUUACAAAUACAAGUUACUUUAAAGACCAAUGUAUAAAACUAAAAUACAAAAUACUUUUGUGAAGAAUUGUAUUUAGAAUGAUUAAUUCUUUAAUAGAAAAUACAUUUGCAAGUACAUGCCUUCACUACAACAGUAUUCUUAGUAACAGAAACAAAAAACCAUUUAACUUGCUAUGACUGUAAUAUGUGGUUGUUUAUCUACCUUGGUUGAAUACACUGACUAAGUCACUGUGGUUAAAUGUCUGCUAAAUUACCUAAAUGUAAAAAUGUAAUAAUUGCAAAGCA